UCGCCUGUUUAUCAAAAACAUGGUCUCUUGAUUUUAUUUAGGAGAUUUAACCUGCCCACUGAAGAUAUUUUGAAGGGCCGCAGUAUUUUGACUGUGCAAAGGUAGCAUAAUCAUUAGUCUUUUAAUUAGAGGCUGGCAUGAAUGGUUGGACGAGGUAAUUACUGUUUUAUAUUAAUUUUAAUUGAAUUUAGGGUUUAAGUGAAAAAACUUAAGUGUUAUUAAGGGACGAGAAGACCCUAUAGAGUUUAAUAUUUAUAGUAAUUAAUUGAGUUAAGAAAUAAUUUUUGGUUAUUAUGAAAAUUAUUUAAUUGGGGUGAUUAGAAAAUAAAAGUAACUUUUCUUUAAUAUUAAUAAUAUGUUUAAUUAAAUGAUCCAUAUUUAAUGAUUAAAAGAUUAAAUUACCUUAGGGAUAACAGCAUAAUUUUUUUUGAGAGUUCGUAUUAAAAAAGAAGAUUAUGACCUCGAUGUUGGAUUAAGAUUAGUUAUGGGUGUAGAUGUUCAUUAACUAGGUCUGUUCGACCUUUAAAAUCUUACAUGAUCUGAGUUCAAACCGGAGA
rnacentral:rRNA from 1 species